CUACGGGGCGCUCCAGGCGAGAAAACUUUGCAAUGUGCGAAAGCACGACAAGGUUAAUCCGAGUGGUUUCUGCUAAAGGAACCUUUUGUCGGUCCUAGAAACACCGAUGAAUAAGGGGUGGGCAAGUUCUGGUGUCAGCCGCCGCGGUAAAACCAGCACCUCAAGUGGUCAGGAUGAUUAUUGGGCCUAAAGCAUCCGUAGCCUGCUUUGUUAGUUUUCGGUUAAAUCUGUACGCUCAACGUACAGGCUGCCGGGAAUACUGCAAAGCUAGGGAGUGGGAGAGGUAGACGGUACUCGGUAGGAAGGGGUAAAAUCCUUUGAUCUAUUGAUGACCACCUGUGGCGAAGGCGGUCUACCAGAACACGUCCGACGGUGAGGGAUGAAAGCUGGGGGAGCAAACCGGAUUAGAUACCCUCGUAGUC
rnacentral:rRNA from 1 species